CCAAAAGGCCUACGUGUGAGGGGUUACCUCGAGUGCUACCUGAAGAAGGUGGCUUUUCCUUGGUCUAAAAAGCCUCGGGAAUAAGAGGGGGGCAAGACUGGUGUCAGCCGCCGCGGUAACACCAGCCCCUCGAGUGGUGGGGAUGAUUAUUUGGCCUAAAGCGUCCGUAGCCGGCCGGGUAAGUCUCCCGUUAAAUCCAGCGUCUCAAGCGUUGGACUGCGGGAGAUACUGCCUGGCUAGAGAGUGGGAGAGGUGUACGGUAUUCUGGGGGUAGGGGCGAAAUCCUUUGAUCCCCGGAGGACCACCAGUGGCAAAGGCUGUACACUAGAACACGCCUGACGGUCAGGGACGAAAGCUGGGGUAGCGAACCGGAUUAGAUACCCGGGUAGUCCCAGCCGUAAACGAUGCAUGCUAGGUGUUGGGUUGGCCACGAGCCACCCCAGUGCCGCAGGGAAGCCGUUAAGCAUGCCGCCUGGGAAGUACGAUCGCAAGAUUGAAACUUAAAGGAAUUGGCGGGAGA
rnacentral:rRNA from 1 species